AACAUUGCACAAGGGUGGAAACCCUGAUGCAGUGACGCCGCGAGAAGUAAGAAGAAUUUCGGUACGUAAACUUCUAUCAGCAAGGAAGAAAACGACGGUACCUGACUAAGAAGCCACGGCUAACUACGAGCCAGCAGCCGUUGUAACACGUAGGGGGCAAGCGUUAUCCGGAUUUACUGGGUGUAAAGGGAGCGUAGGUGGCAAGGCAAGUCAGAUGUGAAAGCCCGGGGCUCAACCCCGGGAUUGCAUUUGAAACUGCCCAGCUAGAGUGCAGGAGAGGUAAGUGGAAUUCCUAGUGUAGCGGUGAAAUGCGUAGAUAUUAGGAGGAACACCAGUGGCGAAGGCGGCUUACUGGACUGUAACUGACACUGAGGCUCGAAAGCGUGGGGAGCAAACA
rnacentral:rRNA from 1 species